CCACAUUCGAAACGCUAGCUUGUGAUGUUCGCCUUUGUACAAUGCACCGAGCAAUGUUAACACCGACAUUACCACCACUGACGAUUCAACUAGAAGUGCGUAAUAAAACGCGUUCGAUCUGUGGCGAUUCGUAAGGUGAUAGGUAGAUGCAUGGAAAACGUCCAGAAGGAAUUUAAAAUUCCUCGCAACUAUUUAUUUUCGAGUCUUUUGAAUUUAUAUCGUCUUAUGCAUAAGACAACAAGUUUAAAUAUUUAACGACUGGCAAGCAGAGAAAUUGACCAGAUGCCAUGGACAUAGAAUGGAAUAGAACAUAGACAUUUCUUUUAUUUCGAAAAAAACGUUCACGAGUAUCGAUAGAAAUUUCAUUUUGGAAGGAAAAGAGGACGAGAGAAUAUGAAGCAGGCUUCGUAUAAAGGAUUUCUUGCUGGCCGCAGACGUGAACGAGCAACCCGCAAACCAGCACAUCACAGGCCACGUUUAGAAGCGCCGUGCCAAUCAGUGCGAUGAUCUGAUGAGCGUACGCGAUGUAAUAGCAAUUGGACACAGAAUAGUUGAAAGGCAG